rnacentral:rRNA from 1 species
UAGAGUUUGAUCCUGGCUCAGAAUCAACGCUGGCGGCGCGCCUAACACAUGCAAGUCGAGCGAGAAAGUGGAGCAAUCCAUGAGUACAGCGGCGUACGGGUGAGUAACACGUGGAUGAUCUACCUCUUAGUGGGGAAUAACUCUGGGAAACCGGAGCUAAUACCGCAUAAGUCCGGGAGGAGAAAGCAGCAAUGCGCUGAGAGAGGAGUCCGCGGCCGAUUAGCUAGUUGGCAGGGUAAAAGCCUACCAAGGCAACGAUCGGUAGCCGGCCUGAGAGGGCACACGGCCACACUGGCACUGAAACACGGGCCAGACUCCUACGGGAGGCAGCAGUGGGGAAUCUUGCACAAUGGGGGAAACCCUGAUGCAGCGACGCCGCGUGAGCGAUGAAGCCCUUCGGGGUGUAAAGCUCUUUCGGCAGGGAAGAUGA